GCGGCGCAGCAGGUGAAGAGCCGCAGUAGAAAGAAUCUGUAGCCAGGCCAAAACGCAAUCCAUCAGACAUCAUCGUCAGCAUCAUCACAGGCUCGAAGCCAAAGCUUUUUCGAAACUUGUAUUUAGAUAUUUGUACAUUAUAAGCCUCCAUCCAGAAGCGCUCAUCAAUUGCUCAUCCUUAGUCUAAGAAAAUGCUCUCUCUCGCUCAGCGCAAAGUCUAUACCUAUAAAAGCGCUGUCUAUAACCUAUAUCUGUAUCUGUACAACCAUCGACAUCACGAGCCAAACACCAUGAACCACAGCACCACAGUUACAGCACCGCCAGGAAUCAAGAUCUGACGUCCGCCAUUCGUCGAGCAUCUGUGUACUGUCUGUUGUCCAUGUAAGCCGCGUCCAGUCCACGUUUGCACACUCGUGUGACUUGUCCAAAUUUAAGCAAAAAUCGCAAAGAACGCUCUCAAUUGAGGAUUCACGACUACUCGUGUGAUGGGCAUCAUAGGCGUGGCAGCUGUGACUAUAGUUGCUGUGAUAGCAGGUCGUGUUCUAUGGUGAGACACUCUGUGCCAAAACAACUCGUAAUUGCUUCCCAAGUGAUGUGAUUCCCCCUCCGUGUGUGUGCGUGUGUUGAGUCUGUAGUUGUUAACGUUUUUCGUUGAGUGUGGAGAUUGCAGUAUUAGUUUAUCAUUAUUUGGUAGUUGAAGUGAGAGUUGUAUAUACUGAAUUUAAAUGGGCAUGCCCGACAUUGUUAUUACGUUUUAAUAUCUAGAAAUUACCUAUACAUAAAUUACCUAUCCUAGCUCCUCGCAACCAAAUGAAGACACAAAUACAAUUGUUAACAAUAAUUUACAAACUCUUUUCUUAGCAUUUUUAAAUAAACAAGAACACAAAUUUAA
rnacentral:sRNA from 1 species